rnacentral:misc_RNA from 1 species
UAAGUGGAAGUGGGUGGAGCGUUCGCCGCUCUGCUUAAGAUAUAGUCGGUCCCCUUGGGAAACUAAGGGGGUGAGUACACUGCUCGAAAUUUAAACUUGAGCGCAUCUCGGAUAGCGCUCGUGUUAGAAUUUCGGGACCGUCGAUUGCCUCGCGGUUCGACGGCUCUUAAAACGUUCCGUAGGUGAACCUGCGGAAGGAUCAUUACAGAAAGUAAACGCGGAUCAAACCGCGAACUUUUAAACCUUUGACGAUUGACUCAUGUUGCCUCGGCGGGUUCUCUCGCCAGAGGAUACAUCAAAACUCCUGUUUUAACGGUGUUGUCUGAGCUACAAGCAACGAAUCAAAACUUUCAACAACGGAUCUCUUGGUUCUGGCAUCGAUGAAGAACGCAGCGAAAUGCGAUAAGUAGUGUGAAUUGCAGAAUUCAGUGAAUCAUCGAAUCUUUGAACGCACAUUGCGCCCCUUGGUAUCCCGAGGGGCAUGCCUGUUCGAGCGUCAUUUCACCACUCAAGCCUGGCUUGGUGUUGGGCGACGUCCCCUUCAGGGACGCGCCUCGAAACGCUCGGCGGCGUGGCACCGGCUUUAAGCGUAGCAGAAUCUUUCGCUUCAAAAGUUGGGGCCCCGUCUGCCGGAAGACCUACUCGCAAGGUUGACCUCGGAUCAGGCAGGGAUACCCGCUGAACUUAAGCAUAUCAAUAAGCGGAGGAAAAGAAACCAACAGGGAUUGCCUCAGUAACGGCGAGUGAAGCGGCAACAGCUCAAAUUUGAAAUCUGGCUCUUUCAGGGUCCGAGUUGUAAUUUGUAGAGGAUGCUUCGGCGUGGGCUCCGGUCUAAGUUCCUUGGAACAGGACGUCAUAGAGGGUGAGAAUCCCGUAUGUGAUCGGUUG